rnacentral:rRNA from 1 species
UUACUGGUGUCUUAGUUAAAUUGGAACAACACCAAUCCAUCUCGAACUUGGUCGUUAAACAAUUUAAGGGUAAAAAUACUUAGGGGGUAGCCCCUUGGGAAAAUAGCCUGAUGCCAGUUUUAUUAGUAAACCCGAGUUUA